UUUUUUUUUGGUUUCAAAUUUGAUAUAAGAAUUUCUAUCAUUACAGAAAUAUUUACAGGAAUAGCUUUUUAUUCGUUAGGUUGUUAGUGUAGCUUGGACAUGUGUUUUCUUCAGAAGCAAUCUUAGACAUGUUUUGCGCAUGAUACUUAGAAGCAUUUUCUGAAUAUAAUGACUCUGCUGACUUAUAGCUGUGAAGACAAAUCAUAGGAAAAAGUUUGGACUUCGGCAUUUAGGAGUCUCUGUAUGUUAUCAUUUUUUUUGGUGGUUUUUAGAGUUCCUGUGGUAUUUUCUAAACUUUUUAUGAAAUAAUGGAACUUCAGAAACCAUAUUCCUUGCUGUUUACUGGUCUCUAUUCUAUGUCAUCAAUGCAUCCUGUGUAUUAGUCACGGCUUUUUAAGAGAUGCAUUUACUGAUUAUAACUUUUGUUCAGGUUAUUGCAUGGGCUGUCAGGAUCAAAGAGUUGGGGUUAUUCAUCCAAGUAGGGACAUGUUCAUUGGUGGGCAGGAGAGCUUUGGUGGGUUCGAGACCGACAGCGAGAGUGAUCCAGACUACUGAUUUACCCAGGAUCUUCUAAGGCUUUUGGAGUCAUUCAUCAUAUUUUUGUGUUAUAUUUUAGAGAGAGAGAGAAUCUUGAUCUACCUAUUAUUCCUUCAUGUAUGCAUCUUGAUACCUAGUUUUCGUUCCCUAGAUUAUUCAUCCAUGGAUGUCAUAAACAUUGACCUUGUGUUACUAUUUGCUCUCUUACUUUCCACAUGCGGUUUUCAAAUUCUGAAAUGCCCAUUUUUCUUCUUUUCCUUUAGUUUUGGAGUGCCCUUCUAAUCAUUCUGAAAUAUGUUGUGUAUGGCCCUGGCAUGCUACAAAAUCUGCCGUAUCGAGGUGUAAAUUGUAAUGAUGCUAAAUUAACUGAUUUUUAUUAAACCCCACUGUUGAGUGUUGAGACCAUUGAAAGAAAGAAAAGAGAGAUUGUUAGCAACAUGGACACAUACGGUGGAGUAUUGUUUUUCUUUGUUGGCAACAUGGACACACAUACGUUGGAGUAUUGUUUUUAUCGUGACUAGAAUUCGCAACGGAAGAAAAAUAAUAAUACCACAAUAAUUCAUGUUCUCUUGCUUCCACCUUGUUCUUUUAGAAAUUAAAGAUUUUCUUUUGUGGGCUAUUUCCUGUUUGCAACUCGACAAGAUGGAGUGAUUAAUUAGGGAAAUUGGCCUGUGGGUAGGAGCUUAUAUAAUAAUUAUAAAGCAGUUGUGAUGAAUUCGGGUACCAGCUAAGAUCAGUGCUAAGAACUCCACGUGACAUGGAUCUCCAAGAGUCGCCGAUCGAGGGCUCGUGCUGCCGCGGCGGCCAUGGACUACACCCGUCGUCGACACGGACUCGUCCACGCACGCUACCACCAUCCAUCAGUGCACGAUGUCUUGACUCGACAGCUGAUUACCAAAGAAUUCAGGGAUCGAUGCUUGCAAGUUCUGACUUCAUUCUGAGGCACGACCAUUAUUGCAUAUGCUUACCAUUAGAUAAUCUGAAAUUAUCUAGUUUUAAUAUUUGCAAAUCAUGUUUUUCUGUGGUCAAAUGCAAUGGCUCCAAAGCUAGCCUCCGAUCAAGAGACCAGCAGUGUAUUGCAUAUCAAAUAAAUGCAAUGGCUCCAAGCCUCCGAUCAAGUAUUUUGGUGGGAGCCACUAAUCUGGGUUUCGAUUUAAUUUGCAUCGACGUAGACUACUGCUAGCACAAAUGAUUGUGAUUAAUGUAGUACGUAUCGAACCUCAGGGUCAACGAUCUUGUCCAGCUGCAUCAGGAACUCGUUCUUCGGAUCACCUGAUGAUGCCUAAGUACUAGAAGUCCAUCACUCGCAGCACGCUUCACACACACACACACACACACACACACACACACACACACACACACACACACACACACACACACACACACAAAACGAUAAAGAAAAAAAAACAGAUUAAGAGCAUGGACGUACAUGGAUCACGGACGGUGGCGUGGCCACGAAAGAGCAGCAGCUUGACGAGCCACGAAGCGACGAACCCGCCGCCUCCGGUCACGCAUACAAGCGGCGGCGGCGACGCCAUCUCUGAUCUCGACGGCGGACAGCGGCCCAGCUGUGCCUUAGCUUAGGAACAGCCUCGCCCACCGCAUACACAAGCGGGAAGACAUUUCCCCCCACGCAAGUCCACGGACCAUGGUAUUGUCAGUUUUAAUGGAGUUUCAUAGAUAUUAGAUUUGGCGUCAUAUUAAUAAAGAAAGAUGAUAAAAGUUUUAUGAGAGUAGAGAGAGUUUCACAGGAAUGAAACUCUUCUGCACUAUUUUCAAAAUAUGAUUAUGUUACAAACUAAGAGAGUGUUUAGUUUCCCUCCUAUUCCAAACAAUUUUGAGUUUUUGUUUAUCAUUUUGCAAAAUGAAACUAAACACCAUGCAAAAUUUCAUCCCCCAAACUAUAAAAUCUAAUAUUCUACCCCCCUGAACUUUUAAAACCGGUCAAAUAAACCCUUAGAGUGGUUUUAGAGGAUGGUUUUGUUUUUUUCUUUUUUAUUUAUUUCCGCUGAAUCUUUGAAACAUCGUAAUAAAUCACAGAAAAAUUAUAAAAUGGAAAAAAUAAAUUUGUUGGAAUCCUGAUGAGUAGAUCUACACAAUAAAUAUAUAAUAUGGUAUACUUUAGUACAAAGUUUUUUUUAGCUUUAAAUAUAUGUUUUUCUAUAAUUAAUAAGAAUAAUUCAUAUGUGUAGUUUCUAUGGUUCAAUUGUGGUGAAAUUUUUAUGGUAGACUCGUUAUUAUAUGCUUGAACUAUGAUAAAAGUUUUAUACCCAUUGAAUCACGUAUAACUUAGUUAUAGAUUUAUUUAGCUUUAUUCAUGUUAAAUCUAUGAUUUAUCUAGUUUGGCCUCAAGGUGGUUAUUCUCCAUUUUAGAUUUUGGCCUCAAGAGAAAAAAAAACAAAAAAGCCUCAUGAGGCCCUUAUAAGGACAAUAAAUUCUGCAUUUUGAAUGGAACUAAACAUGAUUCUGAAAAUUUUAUCAUUUUACAUUCCAUCAUUCUAAAGUAGUUGGCAUUUUACAUUUUUUUUGAAGUAAACAUCCCUAGGUCAUGAAACCUUCACUGACAAUGGCCUUAUCAACCUUGUACCCACAUUAUGUAAAUAAUUAAUGGAGUAUACCCAAGGCGACUAAAACAAACACAGGCUAGAUGUAAACAAGUAAUGACAACUUGAUAACUAGAUGCAAGUUGUCAUUAUCAUUUCGAUCGUCAUUUGUUAAUUUGCGUGCAUCAUGCUACUGGAGUAUUUUUCUUUUGGUUGAAACGGUGCCUUGGAUCUUGAUGGUUGAUAAAACCAUGGGCACAUUACCCGCGCAAAAACCAUGGGCACAUUACCCGCGGGCGCGAGAAAUAUAGACCCACACUUGUGGGUUGAAUCUCGAACCCACAACCGCGCCCAUAACUCGCCACGGGUAGAAGUAUACAUCCACGUUCAAAAAGCAUCUAGGCCCCUAGUGAUUUCGGUGAUUAAUGACAUUGUUGAUUACUAUGACUAAUGUGUGUUUUGCAGAGGCAGAGUCAUAGGUAAGGUCAUGGUAAAUUGGUACUCGAUGGACAGGGACGUAUAUACCUACUUAAUAGUGGAAAUCGUUUCGGUUUUCAAAGGAUGGAUGGACAUCGUCAAGACUAGACUAGGUCUAAGUGCCAUAUGGUGAAGAAGGGCACUUAGAGUAGUUUAGCACUUUGUUUUCCUUUGACCGUACUAUUAAGAGGGGCUUUGAUCUAGUAGCUUGACUUAGGCAAGGCUUUAGGUUUAGGUGUGGUGCACACUUGGUAAACGUAGCACUAGGCAGCUCAGAGAUAGUCCUUAGAUCGAGAGGAACAAACUUCGUUUUGGAGCGAUCACAUUUUGACGAAGUUAGGGUGCCCAAGGGGGCACUGGACGCUGCACUGGACGCUCUGUGAAUGCGUCCGGUGAGGUUCUUAGCCGUUGGAACAGUGCCGUGCUUAGGGUUAGGCACCAGACGCUGGCACCGGACUCACCGGGCAGCGUCCGGUCCCUUACCCAGGGAGGUUGCAAACCUGCCCUGAGCACCGGACGCUAGCACCGGACGCACCGGGUAGCGUCCGGUCCCAUGCGCAGGGAGCAUGUAAAUCUUCCCCGAGCACCGGACGGUGCACCGGACGCUGGAAGUUAGCGUCCGAUGACCUGUCAGAAGCAAGUACAGUUAGCCGUUAUGGAUCACCGGACGCUCGGUGCAGUGCGUCCGGUGCAACAUAAUGUGCGUCCGGUGACCCCAUUUUCAGUGGAAAACGGUUGGCUGACCUUUGGACUUCAUGGGUAGUAUUUAUACUCCUCCACCUCGUCCAUGAGAGCUCGCUUGCCCAUUUAAACAUCAGAGAAACUUGUUGUGGAGCAAGAGAGUAGCAAGAGCCUAGAGAGGAUUGAGUAUUGAGUGUUUUCUUGAGAGAAUCCUUCUCUAGUGAGUUCUAAGAGUCAAGUGUGCAUCCACCACUCUCUAGAGCCUUGUUUGGGUCAAGUGAGAGUUCUUUGCUUGUUACUCUUGGUGAUCGCCAUCACCUAGACGGUUCGGUGGUGAUUGAAGGCACGAAGACCGCCCGGAGUUCUUGUGGGUGGCUCGUGUUAAGCUUGUGAGCGGUUUUGGGCGAUUCACCGCGACGGAGUGUCGAAGAAUCAGCCCGUAGAGAGCACUUGGUCCUUGCGCGGACCAAGGGGGAGCAAGACCCUUGCGCGGGUGCUCCAACGAGGACUAGUGGAGAGUGGCGACUCUCCGAUACCUCGGCAAAACAUCGCCGAGCACUUUCUUCCACUACUCCUUUACAUUCUAGCAUUUACUUUGUGUUUUUACAUUCUUAGAAUUGCCAUGCUAGAAUAGGUUUGGAACUAGGUUGCAAAACUUUUAUCCGGUAGCUCUCUAGAUCACACUAGGCACAAGGGGUUGAAUUGGUGCUUAUAGGUUGCUUAAAUUUUUAGAGAAGCCCAAUUCACCCCCCCCUCUUGGGCAUCUUGACCAUUUCAAUUGGUAUCGGAGCCUAGUGCUCAUUAUUUAGGCUUCACUGCCUAGAGAAAAGAUGUCUAACGGGGAUGGACCGCCACCCAUGUUUGAUGGGGAUGACUUCCCGUAUUGGAAAAUACGGAUGGAGUCAUACCUUGAGGCAUGCGAUAUAAAGUGCCUAAAAGCCGCAACCGAAGGGUUUACCCCUCCGGAAAGAGUCACCGCUCUUACUCCACAAGAGCAAGAAAACGAGAAGUGGAAUGCGAAGGCCAAACACCACAUCUUUAGAGGCCUUUGCAAAGAGGUGUUCAACCGCGUUCGGAGCCACAAAACCGCCAAUGAACUUUGGAAGGAACUUUGUGCGCUCCAUGAGGGAUCAAAGAGUGAACGCGAGGAACGUUAUCACCUAGUGAUGAACAAGCUUAAUACAUUUGAGAUGCUCCCUAAAGAAAAUGCUAAUGAAAUGUAUUCUCGCUUGAAUGUCAUUGUAGAGGAGCUAAAUAGACUUGGGCUCACUCAAAUGAGUGCGGUGGAUGUAGCAAGGAAAAUACUAUGUGUGCUUCCCAUUGAGAAAUAUGGGCACAUAGUAACGGUGCUUCAUCAAGGCGAUCUCUCCACCGCUACACCAACCGCCAUAUUGGGGAAGAUCAAUGCUCAUGAGAUGUACAUGCACAUGAACCCCCAAGAUGGCUCCUCGUCGGCCAAGAAAGAAAAGAAGGACUUGGCUCUCAAAGCUUCUCACAAGGGCAAAGCCAAGAAGAUUGAAGUUCAGUCAUGAACUUCAAGUGAUGAUGAUGCAUCUAUUGCUCUCUUGGUGAGAAGAACCACAAAGAUGUUGAAGAAGCUCAACAAGAAUGGAGUCAACUUUGACUCCAAGAAGAAGAAGUUCUUCACAAGUAGCAAGAGGAAGCCCAUCUCCGAGAUGGAUUGCUACAAUUGUGGUGAGCUUGGUCAUCUUGCUCAUCAAUGUCCAAAGCCCAAGAAGGACAAAUACAAGAAGAAGAACAAAGAGCAAGAUGAUUCAAGUGAUGAUGAGAAAAAUGACAAGAAGCAAUACAAGAAGAAAGGUGGCAAGAAGAAGGAGCACUACAAGAAGAAAAAUGGCAAGGCUUACAUUGUUGGUGAUUGGCUCACCGACAUUGAGAGCUCAAGUGGUGACUCCUCCGGCAAUGAGAGUGAUGAUGAGAAGGUUGCCGCCAUUGCCAUCGAUGCUCCAUCACCAUCAUCUUCACCACCAUCUAUAUCCUCUACACACCUAUGCCUUAUGGCCAAGGGUGACCGGAAGGUACAAAGUGAGGAUGAGAGUAGUGAAAGUGAUAGUGAAUAUGAAUCACCCUCUUAUGAUAAACUUGUAAAAUUGCUUAACAAGUACACAAAAGUCAUAAGAAAAUCUAGAAGUGAAAAUGAAAAGCUUGAACUUGAAAAUGAAACACUUCUAGCAAAGCUUAAGUCUAGUGAUGAGCUUAGAGACCAAAAUGAGAUCAUGACCACUAAGCUCAAGGAGCUCAAACUCUCUCUAAAAGAGCUCAAAGAAAAACAUGAUAAACUUGAGAGUGUUCAUGAUGAGCUUAUCACUAGAUAUAGAGCAAUGAAGGAAGAGCUAACAACUCUAAAAGCAAACUGUGACAACCUUGAAAUUGCUUAUGAACUUGCAAUUGAUGAAAUACAUGUUGCUACUAACAAUGUUGCUAAGCUUGAUGUAGCCACAUCUUGUGAUGACUUACUUAUGGAGACCACAAGCAAAUGUGUUGAUUGCAAGGGCAAGAAAGUGGUAGUGGCCGAAAGCUAUGAAGACACUAUCAAGCUCAAGAAUGAAAUUGUCAUGCUUAAGAAAGAGUUGUAAGACCAAGUCAAGCACAAGACAAUUGUAAUUGAGUCACUUGAUCAAGACAAGAAGCUUGCAUAUGAAAACAAGUUGCUCAAGGAAGAGAAUCAAUAUCUCAAGCUUGGUUUGAUGUAUGACAAGCAAGAAGAAGAUGAGACAUUCAUCUUGGAUGAGUUAGCAAGCAACAAUGACCCAAUCAUCAAGAAGCUAACUCAAGAGAACAACAAGCUCAAGAAAGAGAAGGAACAUCUAACCAUGGGGUUGUCAAAGUUCACAAAGGGGAAGGACCUUCAAAGUGAGCUUUUCAUGAACACCGUCAUGAAGAUGGACAAGAGUGGGAUUGGCUACAAAGCUCAUCAAACAAAGCUCAUCAAGUCACUAGCCACUCAUGAUCAACCAAGCAAGCCAAAGCAAAAGAGAUGUUUUGAGUGUGGUCAAGAAGGACACUUUGCUCAUGAGUGUAAGGCACCACUACCACCACCCUUGCCCAAGCAUGCAAGACCAUUUGCCUUCAAUGCUCACUACAUUGUAAGAAAAGACAAGAGUGGCAAGGUCAAGGUUAGCUUCAUGGGGCCGCCCAACAAGCAAAGGCCAAAGAAGAUUUGGGUGCCAAAGCAACUAGUAGAGAAGGUCAAGGGCCCUAAGCAAAUGUGGGUCCCUAAAUCUCAAGCUUGAUCUCUUGUGUGUAGGUGAACUACAAGACCGGUGGAUCAUAUUGGGUAAUUGAUAGUGGUUGUACUCAACAUAUGACCGGAGAUCCCCGGAUGUUCACCUCUCUUGAUGAAGAUGUUGACAACCAAGAGAAGAUCACAUUUGGUGACAAUUCUAAAGGCAAGGUCAAGGGACUAGGAAAGGUUGCUAUAUCAAAUGACAACUCCAUCACCAAUGUGCUCUAUGUGCAAUCAUUGAGUUUCAACUUGCUCUCGGUUGGACAACUUUGUGAUCUUGGAUUUGAAUGCCUAUUCAAGAAGAAGGAAGUAAUUGUGACCAAGGAAGAUGACAAUGAAGUGAUAUUCAAAGGCUUCCGACACAACAACCUAUAUGUAGUUGAUUUCUCAUCCGAUGAAGUUGAUGUCAAGACUUGCUUAUUCACCAAGACUUCACUUGGGUGGUUGUGGCAAAGAAGGUUAGCACAUGUUGGAAUGGGCACACUCAAGAAGUUGAUGAAGAAAGAAUUGAUUAGAGGCUUGAAGGAUGUGACAUUUGAGAAAGACAAGCUUUGUAGUGCAUGUCAAGCCGGCAAGCAAGUUGCAAACACUCAUCCAACAAAAACCUAUCUCUUUACUUCAAGAGUGCUUGAGCUACUUCACAUGGAUUUAUUUGGACCAACCACAUAUGCUAGUCUUGGAGGCAACAAAUAUUGCUUGGUCAUAGUUGAUGAUUUCUCCCGGUACACUUGGACAUUCUUUUUGCAAGACAAGGCCGAAGUUGCAUCAAUAUUCAAGAAGUUUGCAAAGAAUGCCCAAAAUCAAUUUGAUGUCAAGAUCAAGAAGAUUAGAAGUGACAAUGACAAAGAGUUUGACAACACCAACAUUGAAGAGUAUUGUGAUGAAGUGAGAAUCAAGCAUGAGUUCUCCUCAACAUACACACCACAACAAAAUGGGGUUGUAGAAAGAAAGAACCGGACAUUGAUCACCUUGACAAGAACAAUGCUAGAUGAGUAUAACACUUCGGAGAAGAUGUGGGCCGAGGCAAUCAACACCGCAUGCUAUGCUUCAAACCAGCUCUUUCCUCACAAGUUCCUAGAGAAGACCCCUUAUGAGUUGCUCAAUGGGAAGAAGCCCGAUGUCUCAUUCUUCAGAGUGUUUGGAUGCAAAUGCUACAUCUAAAAGAAGCGCCAACACUUGGGAAAGUUCCAAAGAAGAUGUGACAUUGGCUACUUGGUUGGCUAUUCAUCAAAGUCAAAGGCAUAUAGGGUCUUUAACCAUGCCACAAACAUGGUUGAAGAAACAUUUGAUGUUGAAUUUGAUGAAACUAAUGGCUCCCAAGGAGCAAGUGAUAAUCUUGAUGAUGUAGGUGGUGAACCAUUGAGGGAUGCCAUGAAGAACAUGCCGGUGGGGGACAUCAAGCCAAAAGAAGAUGAUGAUGAUGUGCAAGUCAUUGAGCCACCAUCCACCUUACAUAGUCCACAAUAUGAAGACAAGGAUGUGAGAGAUGCUCAUGAAGACACUCAAGUCACUCUUGAGCAAGCGGUGGCACAAGCACAAGAUGUUGAUGCUCCCCAACCUACCCCUCAAGUGGCACCAAGAAGAACAUCACAUCUCCUUCAAGAUCACUCUCAAGAUCUCAUCAUCGGGAGUCCAUCACGUGGUGUAACUACUCGUUCUAGACAUGCUUUAUUUAUUGAACAUCACGCUUUUGUGUCUCUUGAAGAUGAACCAAAGACUAUAGAGGAAGCUCUUCGUGAUGCGGAUUGGAUCAUGGCCAUGCAAGAGGAGUUGAACAACUUCUCUCGCAACCAAGUAUGGACACUUAAAGAGCGACCCAAAGAUGCAAGAGUGAUUGGAACAAAGUGGGUCUUCUGGAACAAGAAGGAUGAUCAAGGCAAAGUGGUGCGCAACAAGGCAAGGCUCGUGGCAAAAGGCUUUUCACAAGUGGAAGGUCUUGACUUCGGUGAAACCUUUGCACCGGUGGCAAGACUUGAAGCAAUCCGUAUCCUACUUGCAUAUGCAUCUAGUCAUGAUAUCAAGUUAUUUCAAAUGGAUGUGAAAAGUGCUUUUUUGAAUGGAUAUAUUAAUGAGCUUGUCUAUGUUGAGCAACCCCCCGGUUUUGAAGACCCUAGGAACCCCAAGCAUGUCUACCGGUUGUCCAAGGCUCUCUAUGGUCUCAAACAAGCUCCUAGAGCUUGGUAUGAGAGACUUAGGGACUUCCUCAUUGAGAAGGGCUUCAAGAUUGGGAAAGUUGACGCAACACUCUUCACCAAGAAAAUGAAUGGGAAAAUUUUCAUUUGCCAAGUUUAUGUUGAUGAUAUUAUUUUUGGCUCUACUAAUGAAGAUUUUUGUAAGGAAUUUGGUAAUUUGAUGUCCAAGGAGUUUGAGAUGUCCAUGAUUGGCGAGCUAUCCUUCUUCCUAGGAUUUCAAGUCAAGCAAAUGAAGGAAGGAGUCUUCAUCUCUUAAGAGAAGUACACACAAGAUCUUCUCAAGAGGUUCAAAAUGAUGGAUUGCAAGCCAAUCAAGACUCCCAUGGCAUCAAAUGGGCAUCUUGACUUGGAUGAGGGAGGUAACCCAAUUGACAAGACUCUCUAUCGCUCCAUGAUAGGAAGUCUCCUCUACCUCACCGCAUCUAGGCCCGAUAUCAUGUUUAGUGUGCGCAUGUGUGCUAGAUAUCAAGCAAUGCCUAUGGAAUCUCACUUGAUUGCCGUCAAGAGAAUUCUUAGGUAUCUAAAAUACACACCUUGCCUAGGUUUGUGGUAUCCCAAAGGUGCAAGAUUCCAACUUGUAGGCUAUUCCGAUUCGGAUUAUGCCGGGUGCCGAAUUGAUAGAAAAAGCACAUCCGGAGGGUGCCACUUCCUAGGUAGAUCACUUGUCUCUUGGAUGUCAAAGAAACAAAAUAGUGUUGCCUUGUCAACGGCCGAGGCAGAAUACAUUGCCGCCGGUGCUUGUUGUGCACAAAUACUCUACAUGAAACAAACUUUGCUAGACUAUGAAGUAGUACUAGACAAAGUACCUUUGUUGUGUGACAACGAAAGUGCCGUAAAACUUGCAAACAACCCGGUUCAACACACCCGCACAAAACAUAUUGACAUCCGCCACCACUUCCUUAGGGAUCAUGUUGCUAAAGGCGACAUAUCAUUAGAGAAUGUGGGAACGGAAAAUCAAUUGGCGGAUAUCUUCACAAAACCUCUAGAUGAAGCUAGGUUUUGUAUAUUGAGAAAUGAACUUAAUGUGCUUGAUCUCUCCAACUUCACUAAAAGAUAAAAGUUGUGUGUUGAAACUUGUAAAUAGCUUUUGUUUUGCAUUCCAUGCAUACUAAAACUAAAAUACAACUUGCAUGUAGGGCUUGUCUAACAUGGUUAAGAUAACCCCCUUGUGUGUGUGAAAAAGCUUAACCUUGGUUCAAACUUGACAAGUUUUAGUUUACUUUCAAGUAUUGCAUUUCAACUCAUAUCAUGUGCAUGCUUGUUAGUUGAUCGUUUCUUUUCGGUCAUUCUUUGAGCAUCCGUUGUGUUCGUCCAAAGAUAGGGGGAGCAUUCAAAGCUCAUUAUGAUUCAAACCCCUAGCUUUAUGGCCAUAUGAUGCUCCUUGGCGAUUUCUCGAAUUAUUUUCAUAAAAACUAUUAAGCCUAUGGCUAAAUAUUUGUGAAAAUUUGAGGGUUUGAGAGAAGUCACCCAUACCAGUUCCAUUUGGUGUUUUUUUUGUGUGUUAUUGAAGAUGGAACUUGGUUGGGUCAUAGUCGGACGUUGUGCUUAGUUGAAAAAGUGCUCAGAGGAGCACCGGACGAUGCACCGGACGCUGUCUCGGUGCGUCCGGUGCGCUGCGAGUGCCAGACUGCACUCACCGGACGUAGGAACAGUGUCCCUGCAGCGUCCGGUGAGGUGCGUCCGGUGCUCACCUGGCGUGACCUGAAGCACCGGACGCUAAAACCAGCGUCCGGUGCCCAUCGUCCGGUGCAGUGCCGAUUUGCAUACCUCUCUGCGCAUGAGUCCGGUGGUCACCGGACGCGUCCGGUGCCACUUUAAGAGCGUCCCGUGACCCCACAGCGGGCGCAUAAAGCCCGCGCCCAGGGGGUUUCGCGAGGAGUUUUUCUUUUCCUUCCUCGAUCUCGCCCGACCUCCGCCCGUGCCCUAGCUCUUCGCAUCCGCCGCCGUCGUCGUUCUCGACGAACUCCGGCGACCUCGAGGCCUCCCCCUCGUGUGCAGAGCCUCCUCUAGGCCCUCUCUCUCCCUCUCCGCGCAGGGGAUCUCCUUCUGCAUGAUAGGUUAGGGUUUGGGUGAGUUUUCGUCGACCUUGCCCAUACGGUGUUUGUUUCAAUGCUUGAAAGGAUUAGAUUGUUGUUUCCGAUGACGAUUUGAUUCGUUUCAUAUCUGCAGCACCUUGAGGAGUUGUUUUGCGUUCCCCGGCAGAUCUUGAUCGUGAUAUCUCAUCCAGAAUGCGUCCCGUCUUGGAUCAUAAGCCGUUCGCGCCCGUUCCUUCUCUUUUCUUGCGAUCUAUAGGGUUUUCUCACCUCUAGCUAUUAUGAUUUCUUAUAUAUACCUUAUCUUGUCUACUCUCUACAGCGCGUUGAUCUCCGUUAUCAGUUGGGCUUUGUUGGCAGUUCGUUCAGUCGCUUGCUCUCGCAAUGGCUCGUACCAAGAACGUCAGUGGUCCGGCAGCUGGCUCAGGAGGUUCCCCAGGGGGUGAUGGUGGAGGUGAUCCUCCUCGUCGCCUGUCAGCGGCAGAGAAGGGCAAGGGAAAGAAGUUGGCCACCAAGAAGCGCAAGGCCAGCGACAGAGAGGCAGAGGUGGCUGAGGCAGUUGCAGCAGCAGCAGAGGCAGCUGAGUGGGGAGGACGGUCCGGUGCCUUGCGGAUUGGAGCCGAUCUCACGCCACGUCAGAGGCGUGCAGUACUUGAGGCCGAGGCUCGACAUGGAUCCCCUCCAGGCACCAUUAUGAUUGGAGGUCAGCGGGUCAGACUUGUGGUCAGAGAUCCAGCGGAGGAGGAUCCAGAUACAGAGGUAGAAGCCCAGGCAGAGGAUCCAGCAGAGGCACAGGAGCAGCCCCUCAGGAGGUCGACUCGUGCACGUACCCAGGCCACUCCUAGGACUGGUACGCCGGGUCAGUCUACCUCCACGGCUCGUGCCACACCAGCUAGAGGCACUCCAGCUUCCCGUCAGCGGCCAGUCAGGAUUCACAGGGAUCUCACCCUAGUGUCAGCCCGCGAGAUCCAGCAGCUACGCUUUGUCCCAUUUCCUACUUGGUUCCCAGCUGCUAGGGAUCCCAGAGCCGGUGCCAGGUUCUACACAGUCGUCCAGGAGGACAUCUACGAGGCACUGGUUCGCUCUCAGUCUCAGUUCAGGGAGCACAGAGUGAUCGACCUUGAGAUACUCGGGAACGUGGUUGGGGCAGAUAUUCGUCAGUAUUUCACCUACCUUCACGGACUCCCAGAGUUGCUAGCACUCCCUGGUACUUAUUGUGAGCAGUGGGUUAGAGAGUUCUACGCGUCAGUGUGGGUUUCUCCAGAUCAUAGUUACAUUCACUACGCACUGGCAGGCACCGAUUACAGAGUGACAGCUCAGAGGGCUAGAGAGGUACUGGGUUUGAGAGCCUACACCACCAGGAUUCACCAGCUGUGCUAUGGGAACGUUGAGCCUCCCCGACAUCCUCACGGUGGUGAGAUACCACCAGUUGACUUCGUGGCUCCUUGUUUCCGUCCACCGUUUGGAGAGUGCUCCAGCCAGACAGUGGGAGACUUGACACGACCAGCUCGGAUCCUCGACUUUGUGUUGAGGAAGACUCUUCUCCUCAGGACAGGUUACAGAGAUGGAUUCACUCGGAUCCAGCAGUGGCUAGUUGGUCACCUCAUCUCCCAGACGGAGUUCGACUUGUGGGAUUUGAUCGUCUCAGAGAUUGAGGACACCAUCUCAGAGAGCUUCAGGGGACGGCGUCAGUUGCCGUAUGCACAUUGGAUCACUCUUCUUAUUCUCCGUGCUAGGCCACUACCCCUGCCAGCUCACUUGCAGAGGGAGUUGACAGAGUCAGACACAGUCUUCCCCCACUAUGACCCUAGGCAGAUGCUGCGAGCGCACCACGACCUCAAAGCUACUCCACCUCCUCGUGCACCACGUGGACAGGUGCCCCCACCCUCUCCUAGGGGCACUCGCAGUACAGCAGCUAUACCAGAGACAGAGGAGUAGCAGGACAUAGCCAUUGGGGCUUUCGCAGAUGCAGAGGCUGAGGGAGAGUUUGACUUCGCCUCAGAUAGCUCGGAUGAUGACUAUCAGCCGUCAGUGUCAGACCUCCCUCCUAGAGCACACGACCACGAGGCAGGGGGCUCUUCUAGUGCUUCAGACCCAGCUUUACUUGCUAUUUUAGAGGGUAUGAGGGCAGAUCAGCGCCGUGCAGCUGAGGAGCAGGCGAGGAAAGACAGGGACCAGGCUGCCAUCAAUGCAGCCGUGCACGCUAGGCAGGAUGAGCUCCAACGUCAGUUUCUCACCUUUCAGGAGCAGCAGCUUGCGUUCCAGGCCCAGCAGACAGCGAUGAUGGCCGCUAUCAUGGCCGCCUCAGGGAUUCAGAUUCCGCAGAUACAGCUUCCAGGCACUUCGACUGUCAGGCCACCCACUCCAGCGCCUCAGACUCAGAGCCUGUCUCAGCAGCCCCUCCAGCUCCCUGCUCAGAGUCAGCCGUUCUCGACGCCUCAGCACUAGGUCUCCCAGGGUGCUAUCUCUUCUGGCUUUGAGCAGGUACCGCAGUUCACGCCUCUCCGCUCUGGUUUCACUCCUCAGUCAGCGUCAGCAUCUCAGCUUAUGUUGGACACGUCGACAGACCCGCACCUCAGCUUCUCAUACAGUGCUCUGACUGGUGACCCUACGCCUCCACCUCUGCAGGCUCCAGCCGCCUUUACGGCGCCAGUCACCGCUAUUGAGCGUCUGUCGUCGUCUGUAGCAUCGUCCGAGCAGCUUGCACCGUCUUCCACAGUACCAGAGACGUCAGCUACAGCAACUGAGUCCGUGCCAGCCUCGUCAGCAGGACUCGAGCAGCCAGCACAGCCAGUGACAGCUCCCGCACCUACAGAGCAGACCCGGACCGCUUCGCCAGCCCGUGCAGCUUCAGAGAGUCACUCCACCUCCUCUGCCUCGACGGCCGAUAGUUCAGACGAUGCAGCUCGCUUCGAUGCCGUGCCGAGGGACUCCAUUGCUUCACCUCCUCCACCGACUUCUUAGGUUUUUGGCUCUUGAUGCCAAAGGGGGAGAGAGUGUGAGUAUGAGAGUUAGGAGUUAGGGGGAGCUAGAGAGCUAGAGAGCUUGAGAGGGUCCCUAGAGAGCUUGAGAGGGUCCCUAUUCUUUUGAGAUACUUUGAGAUACUUUUAUGUGUGCCACUCCAUCAUGCAUCAUGUUUAUGUUUAUGCAUUGCACUUGUGUGAGAUUCUAUGGUUGUGAGACAUGACUUGUGCUUUUCAUGAUAUCUUAAUGGCAUGUGUUUUGGCUCUUAGUACUUUUGCUUCCGCGUUUCUACUCCGAUGUACUUAUGAGCCUUGUGUCUAUUAUCCUGUUGUAUACCACUCACAUAUUUGGAUGCAGGGUAUUGGACUUGGUGGAUAUAAGCAUGACUAAUCCCUUUGCUCUUAUUGUAACAUGCUUAUUGAAACCAAGUCACUUGAAAACCUCAACUCUUUUCAUACUCGAGGUUGUCAUCAAUCACCAAAAAGGGGGAGAUUGAAAGAGCAUCUAGGCCCCUAGUGAUUUCGGUGAUUAAUGACAUUGUUGAUUACUAUGACUAACGUGUGUUUUGCAGAGGCAGAGUCAUAGGUAAGGUCAUGGUAAAUUGGUACUCGAUGGACAGGGACGUAUAUACCUACUUAAUAGUGGAAAUCGUUUCGGUUUUCAAAGGAUGGAUGGACAUCGUCAAGACUAGACUAGGUCUAAGUGCCAUAUGGUGAAGAAGGGCACUUAGAGUAGUUUAGGACUUUGUUUUCCUUUGACCAUACUAUUAAGAGAGGCUUUGAUCUAGUAGCUUGACUUAGGCAAGGCUUUAGGUUUAGGUGUGGUGCACACUUGGUAAACGUAGCACUAGGCAGCUCAGAGAUAGUCCUUAGAUCGAGAGGAACAAACUUCGUUUUGGAGCGAUCACGUUUUGACGAAGUUAGGGUGCCCAAGGGGGCACCGGACGCUGCACUGGACGCUCUGUGAAUGCGUCCGGUGAGGUUCUUAGCCGUUGGAACAGUGUCGUGCUUAGGGUUAGGCACCAGACGCUGGCACCGGACUCACCGGGCAGCGUCCGGUCCCUUACCCAGGGAGGUUGCAAACCUGCCCUGAGCACCGGACGCUAGCACCGGACGCACCGGGUAGCGUCCGAUCCCAUGCGCAGGGAGCAUGUAAAUCUUCCCCGAGCACCGGACGGUGCACCGAACGCUGGAAGUUAGCGUCCGGUGACCUGUCAGAAGCAAGUACAGUUAGCCGUUAUGGAUCACCGGACGCUCGGUGCAGUGCGUCCGGUGCAACAUAAUGUGCGUCCGGUGACCCCGUUUUCAGUGGAAAACGGUUGGCUGACCUUUGGACUUCGUGGGUAGUAUUUAUACUCCUCCACCUCGUCCAUGAGAGCUCGCUUGCCCAUUUGAACAUCAGAGAAACUUGUUGUGGAGCAAGAGAGUAGCAAGAGCCUAGAGAGGAUUGAGUAUUGAGUGUUUUCUUGAGAGAAUCCUUCUCUAGUGAGUUCUAAGAGUCAAGUGUGCAUCCACCACUCUCUAGAGCCUUGUUUGGAUCAAGUGAGAGUUCUUUGCUUGUUACUCUUGGUGAUCGCCAUCACCUAGACGGUUCGGUGGUGAUUGAAGGCACGAAGACCGCCCGGAGUUCUUGUGGGUGGCUCGUGUCAAGCUUGUGAGCGGUUUUGGGCGAUUCACCACGACGGAGUGUCGAAGAAUCAGCCCGUAGAGAGCACUUGGUCCUUGCGCGGACCAAGGGGGAGCAAGACCCUUGCGCGGGUGCUCCAACGAGGACUAGUGGAGAGUGGCGACUCUCCGAUACCUCGGCAAAACAUCGCCGAGCACUUUCUUCCACUACUCCUUUACAUUCUAGCAUUUACUUUGUGUUUUUACAUUCUUAGAAUUGCCAUGCUAGAAUAGGUUUGGAACUAGGUUGCAAAACUUUUAUCCGGUAGCUCUCUAGAUCACACUAGGUACAAGGGGUUGAAUUGGUGCUUAUAGGUUGCUUAAAUUUUUAGAGAAGCCCAAUUCACCCCCCCUCUUAGGCAUCUUGAUCCUUUCACACGUCCAUAUCCACAGCCACAAAAUACCUGUAAGCGCACCCAUAAACCUGUAUAAUAAUACAUGUAUAGAUUAUAGAAAAUAGUUUAAAUAUGAAAAUCAAAACUAAUUAGCAUUAUAUUAACAUAAAAACAAUUCUUUUAUAUAUAAAUAGAUACGAGAAAGACAAGCACAAAGCUAUAUUACUUUCUUUAUAUAGUAUGAGAAGGGACGUAUCACCACCCAUAGUUUUAAGGGCAGUUUGGUUGAGGUGUUAAAGUUUAACAGAUACGGUAGCAAUUUUGUUUUAUUUGACAAUUAGUAUCUAAUUAUGAACUAAUUAGGCUUAAAAGAUUCGUCUCUCAAAUUACUCUUUAGCUGUAUUUUAAAUUUUAUAAAUAGUCUAUAUUAAUAUUUUAUACAUGUAUCUAAACAUUCUAUGUGACGAAUGAUAAAUUUUAAAUGGCCAAACCAAACAAGGCAGAUUCAUUGAUAUUUUUUUCCAAGAACAUUCCGGGUUUCAGACGGAUUUCAUACUCAUUUAUUACGAGUGUCAUGUUAGCAAAAAUGAAAGGGUGAUAUAUACAAUUAGGCCAGUCUCAGUGGGGGUUUCACCAGAAUGUCAUGCACAUUUAUUAGAGCGUCAUGUCAGCAAAACUGCACUUUUUGCAUGAAACGAAGAGAAGAGAGAAGGAAGUAUAUGGUGAAACUCCGCUGGCGUUGUUUCCCACGCGGUGAAACAGAAUAAAAUCCCCACUGAAGACUAAAUCGUUUCACCAUUUUUGCAGUAAUUAAAUGCUUUGCCCAGCCUAGAAAACAUCAAGGUGAAACUCAUGUAUUGUGGAGGUUGUUUCAUUGUUCGUUUCAUUGAUACUCUGUCAGCAGAUUUGUUUUAGAAACAGUGCAUAAAACGGGCCAUUGAGACUGGCCUUAAAAAGAAGAGAGGAGUUUCAUCCCUACAAAACUCAACUGUCACUAUUUCCUAGUGAAUAAAGCGCCAAGAAAUACACAAUUAAUUUGAGUGCUUUCAAAAUUAAUUUUAAAUCAAAACCUUAAACAAUUUUCACAUGUGACUUUCCAAAAACAAUGGCAUGACUUAAGUACACAACUACACGUAAACAGAUAAUAAAUACUCUAAAGAUUUUAAUUCAUCCAUCUAUAAAUCGUGACAAUACCCGAACAAAAAAGCUUCCAUCCGCUAAAUAGAACUGGUGAUAUAAGAGCAAUCAGUACCGAACAAGCGUCUCAAGUUAUUCCUUCUGCAGGUGUCACAAUUCUAGCAAUGUGGCACUGCAGACAAGUACCAAACGUGGAUCUAUGAAUACAUUGGCAUAAAUGUCAUAGUAGAGUGAUCCAAUGCAGGCAGGCAAUAUGAUAGAAACACCAGCGAGGCAAGAAUGCUAGGUGUCUACUCUGACAAGGUUGACUUCAGCUCUCCGCUCUUCUCCAUCUCAAGAAUUAUAUCACAGCCCCCAAUCAGCUCUGAUUUGUAGUAGAGCUGGGGGAAGGUUGGCCAGUUGGAGUAUGUCUUCAAACCUUGUCUAACUUCCUCGUCAGAUAAGAUGUCAAAGGACCCAAAGCUGACCCCUUCCUUCUUCAAGGCGUUCACAACCUUUGAACUGAAGCCGCAACGAGGAGCAUCUGGAGUGCCCUUCAUGAAAAGCAUCACCGGUGCAGAGGAAAUCAGAGACUUCAAUCUGUCCUCAAGACUUUCUUUUGGAAUAACCCCUUUCUCAGACAGGACCUUCUUCAGCUCACCACUCUUAUGCAUCUCCAUCACUAUGUCUGAGCCGCCAACCAGUUCACCUUUUAUGUACAGUUGAGGGUAACUGGGCCAGUUUGAGAAGACCUUAAGCCCCUGUCUAACCUCAUCAUCUGAGAGAAUGUCAAAACUGGAGAAAGGAAUGUUCUCUUGCUUAAGUAUGUGAAGCAACUUCCCACUAAACCCACACUUUGGUUCCUCAGGUGUACCUUUGAUGAAUACCAUCACUGGGCUGGAAUUAAUAAGGCUUUCCAAACGAGCUUUCUGGGCAUCAGUAAGCCUGAUUGGUUCAGCAACUGCACCACCCUUAUCAGUUGCAGAUCCAGGUUCACCUGCUUCUUCAUUUUUGCUUCCCUGUGGUUUGAGGGGAAUAUUGUGCUCCUCAAAAACAUCCUUCAAUUCACCACUGUCAUGCAUAGCGAUAACAAUAUCACAUCCACCAAGCAGCUCACCUUUGCAGUAGAGUUGAGGGAAAGUGGGCCAGUUGGAGAACUUCUUCAUACCUUCACGAACAUCAUUAUCUGUAAGAAUGUCAAAACUCCCAAAUUUGACUCCUUCCUGCUUCAAAAUGUCAACCACUUUACGGCUGAAGCCACACCUUGGUUGUUCUGGGGUUCCCUUCAUAAAUAAAAACACAGGAUGGGAAUUGACAAGCUGCUCCAAUCGCUUAUUCAAUGCAUCUUCCUUGCUACCAGAGUUUGUGCUUUCAGCAGCAGAAGAACCAUUUUGUUGUGCCAUCUUUUGGAUGUUUUCAAGUACAGCAGGCCCAGCAGCAACUCCGAGGCUAGCAGGUACAGCAGACUCAGCAACACUAGCAGGCCCAGCUACUUUUGCAACCUUAUUGGCUAGGCUGGCUGGGUUUGCUCCCUCCAAAGUAUCGACAAUUUUGCCUUCCUGCAAGCAGACGUCAUAUGCAUGAAAAGGGGCACUUCUCACAAAAAGAUCAGCAUACAAGUGUUUCGAAGCAGCCAGUAACGACCGUUAAGCAUUGCAAGUAACUCCUGAAGUUAACCAAAAGAGUGGUUCUUCGCCACACCAGGGCAUCACCGAAUUUCAUUAAUCAUUACCAAAGUGAUGAAAUUACAGGGUUUGCCAAACACAAGAAAUAUCUACAUACAUAAUACAAGCACUAUAGAAAAGUAACAUAUUAGAAGGUUUUCCAUGCAAAAUUUAAUUGUAUCAUACCAUCAAGCAGAAUUAGGAACAACACAACCGAAAGUGAGGCAGUGACCACAGAUAAAAUCAACUAAUUUACUAUUUGUAGCAAAAAAAAACAAUGUACGCAGAUAUCACAAUUAUUGGAGAUAUAUACUCCCUCCAUCCCAAAAUCUAAGUCAUUCCAAGAAUCUUGGAGAGUCAAAACAUCUCAAGUUUGACCAAAUUUAUAUGGUAGGAUAAUAACAUUUAUGAUAUCAACUAAGUAUCAUUAGGUUCUUUAUUACUUAUAUUUUCAUAGUAUAUCUAUUUGAUGCCACAAAACUUUGUAAUUUUUUCUAUAAUUUUGGUCAAACAUGAGAUGUUUUGACUCUCCAAGAUUCUUGGAAUGACUUAGGCCUUGUUUAGUUUGCAAAAAUUUUCAAGAUUCCCCGUCACAUCGAAUCUUUGGUCGUAUGCAUGGAGCAUUAAAUAUAGACGAAUAAAAGCUAAUUGCACAGUUUACCUGUAAUUUGUGAGAUGAAUCUUUUGAGCCUAGUUACUCUAUGAUUGGACAAUGUUUGUCAAAUAAAAACGAAAGUGCUACAGUAGCCAAAAACCAAAAAUUUUGCAAACUAAACAAGGCCUUACAAUUUGGGAUGGAGGGAGUAAGUCCUACCGAAGUCCAGACUCCACAUGCCAUGACGCUGUAACUAAGAAAAAAAUAAACUAUACAAGCAUCCUUUGUGAAAUGUCCUCGCAAGCAUUCCACAGGUUGAACUACUGAUAUCGUACAGAAGACUUCAUUUGGCACUAUGAAGCCUUCAAUCACUGAAAGCCUAUAUAGCCUUCAAAAUCAUACAACAAGCCUAAGCCUAACCACAAUCUGUGCAUCCAAAUGGACUCUUUGGCAUAGAGUACAGAAAAUUAGUGAAAAUAAGCUUAUACAUAAAUUCAAUGUAUGCAGACUCAGUUUUUUAUAAUGAAAAGGCAGGAGCUCUAGCAUUCAAUUAAGAAGGAAGAAGAGGUGGGCCAUCCCCAUGCGAAACUCAAGUAGAAAACCUAGAAGAGCACUGAACAUGCCAACAAUUGAACUAACAAGGGCUCAAGUGAAAAUGGUUUAACACCUACAAAGUUAUCAUUUAGUAGUAUACAAAAGAGCGCAUCUCUGUUGUGGACACAGAUGCGUAUGGCUCUGAGAACCAGGGCCAGGACUCAUCAUAGGGCAGCUAGCUGGGUACUCUUUUCCCACGCCACGAGUCAAGGCUCAAACAGGCAAGGAGAGACUAGAGACUAUCAGUGCCUGAUUUCAAUGGAUCCCCUUUAUAGGAUGGAUUGACCAGUUGGCAUGGUUCUCUCAAGACCAAGAAAAGUUUUCUGAUGCAUGGAAUCCAUUUGAAACAAAAUAAAAUGACAGGAUAACUAAUCAUUGUAUCCUACGUACGAACUGAUCUAUCUUCCAAAUAAUGAUGCAUCACACAGUUCCUCAUCAACAAUGCUUGGAUACUACGCUGCACAUAAAAGUGAAUAGCCUGCUACAGUAAUACAGUAGUGCCAAUUAGGAGGAUUUCAACAUGAAUAUAAUGAGAAAAUUGAAGACACAGAUCCAAAUCAUCUUAACCACUUGCCAUUAAAAGAGCGGAUCUCAUUAAACAUUGUAUUCAUGAUGUCAUGAUUGGCAGUAAGAAAAUAUAUGCGGUUAUUCAACUACCAUGAAAAUGACAAGUUUCAUGAUUCUAUCAGAAGUAUUGUGCAUAAAAAAGGGGGGAAAUGUUUAUUGACAAGAAGCAAGGCCGAGUUAUAUUAUUCGGUAAUUGUGAAUACCUUGUAGAAAACAACAUAUGGCACCGCUGACACUCCAUGUGCCUCUGAUAUUUCAGGUUGUUCUUCAGCUUCAACCUGAACAGAGUCAUCACUCAUCACUCAUCAGUGCAAGAAACAAAUAAGCAAACAAUGUAGCACCCUCCUCAUUAUGUUGACAGUAAACAAACAAUAAAUACUGGACACAAGAAGGGGCACAGAAGUAACCCCUGAACAUAAUGGGCAUAUAAAUGAAAAAUAAACAAUAAAUGGUUAAAAGAUCAGUCUUAUUAUUCAGUGAUUAAGUGACAAGACCAAUGGAAAAACAGAUGGAUACUAGAUUAAGUAUACUUGUGUUUAUCCCUCUUAAAUUAGUUCAUAGCUCAAUGGAAACAAUGAAAUAUCACAUGCUCAACUUGGCUGGAUUCAACAGUGUUACUACCUCAUCUCAGCAUGGCACUAUAUAAACGCCACACCAGAAUUGCUUAGCAUCAAGCGUACAAGCAGGUUACUUAGUAUACCAUUUGUUUAGGCAGUACCAAAUAUACAGCGCCUGAGUUUAAUAUUUCCAUAUAACUUCUUACAACACCAAAGGUAUACCAAAUACAUUAACAGAUUUUAAAAUCACUAAUGAACAAUCAAAAUCCACAUGUGGCGCAUAACAAUAACAGGAUACCCAGAGGACAAAAUCCUCCCUUUGACCCAUCCAAUACAUCAACAGAUUGGUAAACCCUCCGUCAAGAAAAAGAAUGUAACUCUAACUCUAGCACAGCAGGAAGUUAAAGCUUAUAUUUUCAUUAUUUGGUGUCAUAAAUAUUAAUAUUUUUACCUAUAUACUUGAUCUUUUGUUUCAGUCACAGUGUGGUUGAGUAAUUCGGCUACCACAACUUCACCAUUAACUAAGGACUAGGUUACAACUUGCAAUAUGUUUUCAAACUUAUAUUAUAAACAGACAAUUCAGGCACAGAAGUCCUUUCAAGAAUUAUUUUAUUGACAGACAGAACAAUUGAGUUUAUCAAUUUAGAAAACCGAGCUCUCAUUUUGCACUCUUGGACAAACGCGCAACGUUGCCUAACAAAGAGGGAGAAAAGUUUCACCGUAGAACAGAGCAGCCCAGCAAGCAGCCGUAGAAACCCUAAAGUCUUACUACAAAUCCAAUCCACAAGACACCUCAACGAAACCGACGACCGGACCGCACCGAACAGAACCGAAUCUACCGCGGUCGGGAAAGCGGGAGGCGAAAAGGGGGCAGCAGAAGCACGAACCCGGAGGAAGGCCGCGUGGGGGAAAUCGACGGCGAGGUGCGCGAAGACCUCGUCCAUCUGCUUGGACGCCUCGCACCAGGACGCCCAGAAGUGCACGGCCGCCGCCCGCACCCCGGCCACCGCCGCCUCCAGCUCCGCCGGCGAACGCACCUCCCUCACCGCCCCGCCGCUCGCCAUCCCCUUGUGAUCCUACGCGGCGGUUGGGAUGAGAAGAGAUGUGGUCAAGUGCUGAAGGCGACUGGAGUUGAAGAGGAGGAGGAGGAGGAGGAGGAGGAGGAGGAUGCGGAAGAGACGAGGACUCGGGUUCUGCCUGUGCGGGGGGGUUGCGGCUUGGGGUUUUCCUCUGCUUUGCCGCCGCCUCGAUCGAUCGGGGGGCCGGAGCAGCGAGGCCGAAGGUGUGCUGCCUCCUCGGCUUUUCGGGGAGUUCCCGUGCGGCGCGACGGCGACUGAACAUUCCAGAAGGGGGGCGCGUGGGAAAGCGACCGACGGGCCGGCGGACGGAGGCAGGUGGGCCUGUUUCUGGCUGGGCUGGGCUGGGCUGUGUGGGCCGAACCGCUUUUCCUUUUUGAUGGUACGGUGGUUUUGGCCUGGUGACGGCGGGCGCAUUUUUGGGGGGACGUGUGGGUCUGGUGGUGAUUCGUGCGCUGGGCGGCGCGGUGGGGUCUAGCCGCCGUCUGGGCGGUCCGCUGCCGGGUCGAGGGACCUAUAAAAUGGAGGGGGUCGCGGAAGCUGGCGAGCGCCCCCGUCGGGCACAAACCCUAGUCGCCACACCACACGGCCGCCUCGCACCAACCAUCGACCUGUGCGGGACUGCUGGCAGUCCCUUUCGCUAUUCCUCCCUUGUCUGAGGUCUCUCUUGCUCUUUCAGAUCCGUUUAUUUGUGUGGUGCUAUCUGCUCAUGAUAGCCUGAUAUGUAUGCUGCCUCGGAAGAAAUUCAGACUUGUGUUUCUGCCUGCUGUAUAUUUCGAUGAGGUUUUCAUUUGUCUUCUUUUUUUUUUUUUUUUUUUGCCAUGCGUGCGUCUUUGCCGGAUCACACGGAUCGAUGAUGCUGUUCAAGAAAUACUGCGUUAUCUUCCUGAUGCAAAGCCGUCGUGUUACGAAGGCUUCCUGAUGACACAACUGUCUUGCUGAGAUCCAAGUGCACAACUUCCUUCUCUCUUGCUUUCUGUAUUUCUCGCCGUCUGAUUUUUCUCCUCUGGAUGUGAAAUUUGCGUACAGUUUAGUUUUGAUCAAAUGCACUAUCAGAUAUCGUAACGGACAGGAUGGUUUCAUCCACGAAGCGAGCGCGGAGAUUAGGCCUGCAGCUAAGAGCUGGGAUGCAUGCUGUUGGGAAUACUAGUAAAUAUGACCAGGCAAUAGUGGAAUCUAUCGCUGUGUUAUACAAAAAAACAAGAUUUGAUUUGGAUUCAUGCUGACGCUGUUGGGUACUAGUAAAAUACUGACCAGGCAAUAGUGGAAUCCCGGUGUUAUGCAAAACAUUAUGUGAUGUAAUUUGGAUACCAGAAUUUUUGCUUAAAAAGUUACCCUACUCCAGUUUGACACUUCUCAGAUAACAAACCACACACGAUGACCACAUGACGCAAUCUCUUUGUUUUAACAUACUAUGCUAAGCGCUUAGCGCAAUUAGGCUUAACAAACCAAAUGUAUACCAGAAGCGAGGCAUCAGUGCAUCAGAAACAUGGUACUUUUAAGGGUCCCGUGGGAGCAGCGAGCCCAACGAAAUGGACUGCGUACAUGUUUAGUGAACCCAGCCUAAAUAAUACAAUAGUUCAGCCAGUUGCCAGUUUAAUGAAUGUCUAUCAUCUGGCGGACACAGGUUAACUGAGAUCAAGACACGUUUAUAUUACAGACAAACAGGUAAGCAUCUAACAUCAUCACUGUUUCCAGAACUGUCAAGCGACCUUAUUUACAUCAACACCUGCAGCAUCCUCUGGUAGCUGCUGGCAAUGAGCUUACCCAUCUCCCUACCCAUCAGAGGCAUAGAAAGCAAGCGAC
rnacentral:lncRNA from 1 species